CCGGCCGUUGUUGCCAGACGAGCGUUUUUGUGCGUCAGAGGAAAUUCUCGAAGCGACAAUGUGGCAAAGUCGAAACCAGGAAAAGGCAUCGAGUUGUUUGGCUGGGUGCAGUGACGUGGGCCCGACGAGAUGCGGUCGAAUGCAGGUCACCUGUGAAUGCCGACAUAAGAGUUAAUUAGUAACUAGAAUGUCGGAUGAAUGUCAAAUUUUAGACGUAUGGAUAGAUCGACUUUGUCGCUGUGGAGAUGUGUUUAGCAGUGCAGUUCGAUAAUUUAUACGAAAGUGCAGCCUUGAAAGGGAAAGAGCAUGAAUAAUGGAAUCAAGAUUAUGGACAGAUGGGUAUAAAUGCAACAAAGAGACACAUCUAGCGGACACCUGUUCAAGAAAGAACUAGAGGGAAGUUAUGUUAAUUCGUGCAUUUGCUUUAUUCAUGUAUUGACGGAGGGUAAAUCUUAGGUUUGUCAACAUUGCAAGCAGUGCAGGUUUCUUUUCGAAGAAGUUCCAUACAAUCAGUGGAAUAUUUCAAGCAUAGGGGUGUGGACUAUGUAAAUCCUGUGGAAGUUCAUAGCUAUAUAACUGAGAUAUUGGGGCCUGUUGUAUUUGUGGUGAACGGAAGCUUGGACUGAUUUUAGAGUGAAAUCAUCUUAACUGAUAAUUAUUAUAUUAUAUAUUUCACAACAGGAAACUACUAUGAGA